UACGUAGGGUGCAAGCGUUGUCCGGAAUUAUUGGGCGUAAAGAGCUCGUAGGCGGUCUGUCGCGUCGGCUGUGAAAACUCGGGGCUCAACCCCGAGCCUGCAGUCGAUACGGGCAGACUAGAGUGCGGUAGGGGAGACUGGAAUUCCUGGUGUAGCGGUGAAAUGCGCAGAUAUCAGGAGGAACACCUGCGGCGAAGGCGGGUAGCUGGGCCGACACUGACGCUGAGGCGCGAAAGCCAGGGGAGCGAACGGG
rnacentral:rRNA from 1 species